rnacentral:rRNA from 1 species
CGCACGGGUGAGUAACACGUAUCCAACCUGCCGUCUACUCUUGGACAGCCUUCUGAAAGGAAGAUUAAUACAAGAUGGCAUCAUGAGUCCGCAUGUUCACAUGAUUAAAGGUAUUCCGGUAGACGAUGGGGAUGCGUUCCAUUAGAUAGUAGGCGGGGUAACGGCCCACCUAGUCUUCGAUGGAUAGGGGUUCUGAAAGGAAGGUCCCCCACAUUGGAACUGAGACACGGUCCAA